rnacentral:tRNA from 1 species
UCCCUAGUGGCUUAGACAGUAAAACAUCUGCCUGCAAUGCAGGAAAACUGGGUUCAAUCCCUUUUUGGGAA